rnacentral:rRNA from 1 species
UGGGGAAUAUUGCACAAUGGGGGAAACCCUGAUGCAGCGACGCCGCGUGAACGAAGAAGGUAUUCGUAUCGUAAAUUUCUGUCCUAUGGGAAGCUAAUGACAGUACCAUAGAAGAAAGCUCCGGCUAAAUACGUGCCAGCAGCCGCGGUAAUACGUAUGGAGCGAGCGUUGUCCGGAAUUAUUGGGCGUAAAGGGUACGCAGGCGGUUUAAUAAGUCGAAUGUUAAAGAUCGGGGCUCAACCCCGCAAAGCAUUGGAAACUGAUAAACUUGAGUAGUGGAGAGGAAAGUGGAAUUCCUAGUGUAGUGGUGAAAUACGUAGAUAUUAGGAGGAAUACCAGUAGCGAAGGCGACUUUCUGGACACAAACUGACGCUGAGGUACGAAAGCGUGGGGAGCAAACAGG